GCUGGGGUUUUUUUGUUUUGUUUUUUUGUUUGUUUUGUUUUUUUAAUUUCUGUUUCCCUCCCUCUCCUACUUUCACACAACUGGCCGUUCACUCCUUUAAGAGCUCCUAGUGGCCUUCCAAAAAGAAAGCCCUUCAAGGAAAAACGGGCACACAUUCCCAUUCCAGGCACCUUGCCAAAAUCUUCCAAGCACCCUACCUGGCAUACUAGCUUAAGUUUCUUGAAGAAGUGGGGGAAAUUACAGUCGACUUGUAGUAGUUGAGACAAGUUCAGUGCUCAGCUCCCCCCUCUCGAACGAGACUCGGGAUCUCUGUGGAAGGCGCCCAGUUGCGAGCCAGCCAGGCUGGAGGUUUGACGACCAAUCCUGAUUCAGUAGAAAUCUGACAAACAUACUUAGUGCUGCAGCACUUAUGUGCCUUGAAAAAGAUUUGCCAGAUUGAACUACAUCCCAGGUCAAAGAUAAGCCUGCACUCAUGAAGGUGCUCCACGCUAAGCACACAGGACUGAUCUGUGCUAUAAUCCUGAAAAGUCCAAACCUGUAGCACAUUUCAAGAACACGGUUUAACAGAUGUCAGUUCCAUCUAUACAGGAAGGCCUAUCUGCAUUUUGACCAUGCCAGCUACUACCCCAAUCAACCUUUGGCACUCUGCUUAGACCGCAAAAAAGACUACCAACAAGCAUUAAUUGUGUGGCUAUUUUUUAUGCUCAGCAGCAUUACUCCUUGUGAACUGGACUGAGAACAACAAACUCACUGGACGUAGUGCAUCAAAGCUGCUAUCAGAUGGUUAAAACCUUUGAUCACACCAACCAGGGAUGAAUCUGAACCCAAGAACUAAUGUUGGAAGACUCUAUGUAUUAUUACUAACCCGUUGGUUCAGAUGGUCCAAUUUUGAAGAUUUAGACUGCCCACUUUUAACCUCUCCUCUGACUAGCUUUUUUGGUCUUUGAUGGAAAUGACCUCAUCAUGGACCUGAUGUUAUAACAUUAAUUACACCAAAAGGUUUUGUAUUCUGUGUUUAUGCUACUGAAGCAGUAAAUAAGAUUCUAGCCUAUUUCCAACUGUGUAACAUGUAGUACAAAAUAAAAUGGAUCCAAGCAUGUGA